AGCCACUAGAUGAUAUUUGUGGUUUUACCUGCCCAAUGAUGUAUUGAAUGGCCGCAGUACUCUGACUGUGCUAAGGUAGCGUAAUCAGUUGGCUUUUAAAUGGAGUCGAGAAUGAAUGGGAUCACUGGAUUUUACUGUCUCGGGGGUAUAGAUUGAAUUUGCUUUUUAAGUGAAAAAGCUUAAGUUAAAUAAAAAGACGAGAAGACCCUUAGAAUUUUUAUAUGUUUUUAUUGGGGCGAUAAAGAAAUAAUUAAAACUUUCUGUCAAAACAAGCCGAUUAUAUUAAGCUAGAAUAAAUUACCUGAGGGAUAACAGCAUAAUUUUAUAUUUAAGUUUGUGACCUCGAUGUUGGACUAGGGAACUAAUAGGCUAGCCGUUUAUUUUGUGGGUUCUGUUCGAACUAUAU
rnacentral:rRNA from 1 species